rnacentral:rRNA from 1 species
UACGAAGGUCCCGAGCGUUAUCCGGAUUCAUUGGGUUUAAAGGGUGCGUAGGUGGAAUAAUAAGUCAGUGGUGAAAUCUUGCAGCUCAACUGUAAAACUGCCAUUGAUACUGUUGUUCUUGAGUAUAGUUGAUGUGGGCGGAAUAUGUCAUGUAGCGGUGAAAUGCUUAGAUAUGACAUAGAACACCGAUUGCGAAGGCAGCUCACAAAGCUAUUACUGACACUGAGGCACGAAAGCCAGGGGAGCGAACGGG